UACGUAGGGUGCGAGCGUUGUCCGGAAUUAUUGGGCGUAAAGAGCUCGUAGGCGGUGUGUCGCGUCGGCCGUGAAAACCUGGGGCUCAACUCUGGGCGUGCGGUCGAUACGGGCAUCACUUGAGUUCGGCAGGGGAGACUGGAAUUCCUGGUGUAGCGGUGAAAUGCGCAGAUAUCAGGAGGAACACCGGUGGCGAAGGCGGGGUCUCUGGGGCCGAUACUGACGCUGAGGAGCGAAAGCAUGGGGUAGCGAACAGG
rnacentral:rRNA from 1 species